AGCCUUCUUGUCCUCUCAAGUAGCUGUCGUAGGUGAAAGCCCUUCCCAUUGAAUCAACACUUGAUCAAUGUAGCCACGGCCAAGACGAAGCAUGUGGCUCUCUAGGAUGGCAGAAGGCACCAAAGGCAUAAUAGUUUCAGUGACGUGGGUCGUUAAUGGAGGUGGAGUAGUUGAAGGAGUUUCGUAGAAAGCUUUUAACUUUGUAGGAUAUGAUUGGUCACCCCAGUCUCUCCAUUGGAAUAAGGAUGAUAGGUGCUACUAAAAGCGAGUGUUAUGCCUUGUAAAUGAAAGAGAUCUCACCAAAAGCGGUUGUUAAAUACACGAUCACAAUCAUUGACAAUCAACUUAGGCAUGUCAUGAAGCUUGUAGAUGUCACUUAAGAACAUAGGUGCAACGGAAGCAACGGAGAACUUGGCUGGUAAUGUUUUGAAGUGAGUAUACUUUGUCAAACAAUCUACAAUCACCUAGGUUUGCACAUACUCCUUGACAUCCCGACACAUGUGUGGCCAUGAAAAGGAAGCUGCCAAACAUAUAAGCAUGCCUUUAACACUUGAGUGUCCUCCUGCAAGGGUGGCAUGGCAAUCUUGAAGCAAUUGAAAGCAAAGCGCAGACUCUAGUGGAACAAAUAAGCACUGUUGGAAAUACGAGACACCAUCUAUAAAGGUUAAUUAGGCAAGUUUGUGAAGUGUUGAUGUUCACACACUCGCUAAGCUAGCAGAUUGGCAUAGCGAGCCAUCCGCUGAGCGUAACAUUCCUCGGCUAAGCGCGAGGAAGAAUUUGGAAGAAGGAUGAGCUGUGCAUGUUCGUUGAGUAAAGGGUCAUCCCGCUAAGCGCACCACUUCAGUCCAUCCGCUGAGCGAGAAAGGCAUGCGCUAAGCCGAAAUUCACUAAUGCGCGCUAAGCAGUUCAGAGUUGCGCUAAGUGUGCAAGCACGAACAAAGCCUUCUAUUUAAGCCUGAAAUCAGAUUUUGGAAGGGAGUUUGGUCUUUUCUUGAAGCUUCUGCAUGUCUAGGGUUUUCUAGAGAAAGAAAGGUCCAAGAUCCAGAGAGUUUGAGAGAUUUUCCUGUGUGAAGAUCCGUAGAGACCGAAGCUUGAAGAAGUUGUCCUGAGAGCUUGAGAUGAGUUUGUGAGUGAUUGUGAGGUCCUAGAGGUGGAGGAGACAUCCCCACCACUUAUAUUUCUUCAA